rnacentral:rRNA from 1 species
AUGCACUAUGAGGAGCGCGUCCGGUUAGUGGCCAAGUAUCACACGGACUAUCUCAACCAAAAGAUUACCAAACAGGAGGCUCGAGGGAAGCAUCUUUCAUGGGACAAUUACUUCAAGCUGUGCUGGGAGAAUACCGUCGAACGGUGGACAGAUCCAGGGUGGCAGGAUGAACACAAAGCAAUAUCUAAACGGCGUAAGUUGAUGGGUUGUCCAGGACACCGUCAAGGCAACCUCACCAUCCCAGAAAGAAGACACUGGCAAGGACAUCACUUACUUCGAGGCAUGGACCAUCAAACGUACCAAAGACGACAAGGACAAGGACCCUCUCCACCCGAAGAGGGACUGGAUCAGCUCUAA